rnacentral:rRNA from 1 species
ACGGAAGGUCCAGGCGUUAUCCGGAUUUAUUGGGUUUAAAGGGAGCGCAGGCGGCGGCGUAAGUCAGUUGUGAAAUCGUGCGGCUUAACCGUGCAAUUGCAGUUGAUACUGCGUCGCUUGAGUGCACACAGGGAUGUUGGAAUUCAUGGUGUAGCGGUGAAAUGCUUAGAUAUCAUGAAGAACUCCGAUCGCGAAGGCAUAUGUCCGGAGUGCAACUGACGCUGAGGCUCGAAAGUGUGGGUAUCAAACAG